UGAGAAGGCAUCCAAAGGGAUCGCAUUGAUCCUUUAUUUUUUUUCAACCCUUUAUUUUUUUUUCUUUUCAAUUCCCCCCUCCCCCAAAACAAAUUCACAAUUUUGGAUCAUGCUAUCCCUUUGGAUUCCUCCUU
rfam:Gossypium hirsutum cultivar TM-1 chromosome 1, whole genome shotgun sequence